ACUCCUACGGGAGGCAGCAGUGGGGAAUCUUGGACAAUGGGCGCAAGCCUGAUCCAGCCAUGCCGCGUGAGCGAUGAAGGCCUUAGGGUCGUAAAACUCUUUCGCCAGGGAUGAUAAUGACAGUACCUGGUAAAGAAACCCCGGCUAACUCCGUGCCAGCAGCCGCGGUAAUACGGAGGGGUUAGCGUUGUUCGGAAUUACUGGGGCGUAAAGCGCGCGUAGGCGGACUAGUUAGUCAGAGGUGAAAUCCCGGGGCUCAACCCCGGAACUGCCUUUGAUACUGCUAGUCUUGAGUUCGAGAGAGGUGAGUGGAAUUCCGAGUGUAGAGGUGAAAUUCGUAGAUAUUCGGAGGAACACCAGUGGCGAAGGCGGCUCACUGGCUCGAUACUGACGCUGAGGUGCGAAAGUGUGGGGAGCAAACAGGAUUAGAUACCCUGGUAGGAUAGCG
rnacentral:rRNA from 1 species